rnacentral:snoRNA from 1 species
UUUGGUUCAAAAUCGUCCUGGCUUUGGCCAAGGCCGUGGGUGAGAUUCAGCGCCUAGAGCCACCAGGAGCUUCAGCUCACCGCCCACAGCUUCGGUGUGGAGAGGUGAAACCCGACAGUGAAGCUCCGACAGUG